GUGGGGAAUAUUGCACAAUGGGCGCAAGCCUGAUGCAGCGACGCCGCGUGGGGGAUGAAGGCCUUCGGGUUGUAAACUCCUUUCGCUAGGGACGAAGCCUUAUGGUGACGGUACCUGGAGAAGAAGCACCGGCUAACUACGUGCCAGCAGCCGCGGUAAUACGUAGGGUGCGAGCGUUGUCCGGAAUUACUGGGCGUAAAGAGCUCGUAGGUGGUUUGUCGCGUCGUCUGUGAAAUCCCGGGGCUUAACUUCGGGCGUGCAGGCGAUACGGGCAUAACUUGAGUGCUGUAGGGGAGACUGGAAUUCCUGGUGUAGCGGUGAAAUGCGCAGAUAUCAGGAGGAACACCAAUGGCGAAGGCAGGUCUCUGGGCAGUAACUGACGCUGAGGAGCGAAAGCAUGGGUAGCGAACAGG
rnacentral:rRNA from 1 species